CCACUCAUAUAAUACAGCUAGCGCUUCAUAUACAGCAAAAAAAAAAAGGCUCAAGAGAUGGAGAAAUGUUCCUUCAACUACUUAAUUAGCUCUGUUCAUGAUUUCACUAUUGCUUAUAUGCUCAUGUAAUUUGCAGUACUCAGAAGUGGAAGCAAGGAAUGUAAAUUUCCGAUGCAAGACUGUUGAUGAUUGUAGUGAUGAUCCAUCACAGUGCGAAUGCCAACUCAACAUUUGUUUUUGCCACCCUCCUGCAGCAGCAGCUCAUGAUCAUCAGACCAUGAAUUUCAUGAUUAAACAAAAUGAAGCUGAUCCUCAUCAACGUACAUGAAAAAGUACGCUCCGUCGUUCCCCAGAAGUACCAAUGUUAAUAUUAUAUAUUGUAGUACUCUACCUUAAAAGAAAUCAAUUAAUUAAUAAAGGGAAACGGAGUUUCUUGAUCA